GGAACACGAUUUAUCACUAUUUUGCUCUUAAAAUCUAAGUUAAGCGAGAAAAAAAUAACAAUAGAUGAGUCUUGUAUUUAUAGACCGAGAAGAAGAUAUUUUGUUCCUGCAAAAUCGUUGUUCCCUUGAGAUACUGCGUGCGAUUCGGCGUGGAAGAGAUAAGCAUGCCGCCCACUUUCGAUGCAUUCCUUCGUCUAUCCCUCAAUUCUACCUUUUCCAAGUCCUACUAUGUGUCAUGCACUUGAGGCUUAUGGGUUCAAGCUUCUAUUGAGGCAUUGUUGCAAUUUGAUUAAGAUGCACUUGUUUGCAGUUGCAGAGAUGAGUUUAAUUGAAGCAUCCUGGUCAGGAUUUUCCACUUUAUGAACUUAUUUUGCAUCUUAAAAAGUCCUAGAAAUAGAAGCUCAAGAAAGUUGUGUCAGAAUAUUGCAAUUUUCAAGCUUAAUUUUGAUAGCCACUGUUCCUCCUGCAGAUGCAGAACAUGAAGGGUCAAACAUAACUGUGCUGACACAAUUUGGCUAUGUGACAGGUGUUAUAACCUGUAACGAGAGGAAGUGUCAUGAUUGGUGAGGCGUUUGGAGGAAAAAAUCGAGUGUCUAGAUCUUGUAACUGGUGAGUAUAAAUUGAUUAACUUUUUUGGUAUUUUAAUGGGGCAGACGUGCACAAUAGUUUUUAGAGGUAUUUUUAUUAUUAUGUUAAUGUCAGCCAUCAUAUAUGUUCUUGAUGAGGUUGAGAGAUAAUUGCAUGAUAUCCUUGUAUGUGUUAUCUCAUAGUAGGUAUAUUGUUGUUUUUGUUCUUUUGUUAUAAACAAGUUCUUUGCUAUGAGUAUAUUGUUAUUUUUCCCCCUACAAUUGUAGUAAAAUUAGAGGAUUCAAGGACAUCACAUCUCUCAUGUUCAAUGAAAAAACUGAUAUGUUCUUUUGACUCCUUUGCACCUUGUACAUACAAGACAUCUUGGACAUUUCUGAUGAGGAAGCAAUUUGGUAUGUUCUGAUUUAUGAGCCUAUUAUCAGUAGUUUAGGUUGAAAAUAUGCUUUACUCCAUCAAGUGCAAAAGUUGGUAAUGUGGUCUUAUCGGGGAGAUGCAUGCAGAUUAGUGGCUAUUAUUAUUUAGUUGGACUGCAGCUUAUUGACUGGUAGCUAGGAGGUGAUGCACAUGUAUGUUUUGUUGAAGUUUAUUGAUUUGUAAUUUUGGGGUGGAUAUUAGAAGUAAGCAAUGACUUUAAUAUUGCUUUCAAGUUUAUACGAGUUUGUUCUGCUCUAAGUUACUUGGCGCAGUUUAAAUUUUGGAAGAAUUGAAUAGGUAUUGUUUUGGUAUUUUGAUGUACUUUGUCAUUAUUUUGACAUAUUUGUAAGAUUUGUUAGUUUUUUCAAUAUAAUAAUAUAAUUUAAGUUUUCAUUUAUUUUGU